CAAAACCUAGACCUAAUUCUAGAUCCCCUCCCAUAGAAAAGGCUAAAAGAAACGGCAACCCUCAGAUCUUCUUAUUCAACAACAACAAAAAAAAAACGAGCAUCCAUCCCUCCUAAAAGAUCAUCUUCCCUAAAACCAUACACAAAAAAUCCAAACAACUUUCAUAAAAAAAUCAAAAGACCUCAUGGCCGCAACUCCGAAAAAGAGAAGUCCGCAACAUUUGUCUCAUAAAAAUGUAAAUAUACAAAGGAAAAGGUCUUGACCAACAACACUUGGCUACUGAAUUUGUUAAAUAGUUGCUGCUGUUUUGCUUAACAUUAAGGAUUGAAGUUAUCUUUUGAUGGGUUUGUAACAUUUCGCAAAAAUGAAUCUCGAUACUUGACCAUACAGACCGUAGUUCGAGGUUGCUACCUUUAGUCCAGUGGAGAUCCGAGAUAGUCCUGCCGGCGUCCGCAGGCCUCGGCGUCCCCUUCUAUUCUGCUUUUUUUCUGUUUUAUCUAUUUCUGAGACAAAUUUGUAUUUCCUUAUUUAGACCACUAUUUGUAGUAUUCAUAGACAGUUCGUGAAAUUAUGACACCAGUUUUGGGUGGAGUUUUACUUCGGAUUCAUAUUUGUAAUAAGAUAAUCUGUUAAAUUCUA